AUCGCCGCCAGCUCGUUGUUGCUUGACCUGCGAAGUAUUUCCAGCAUUUGCUGUUCGGAUCACAGGGGAUGUUUCACCGAUCUGCGUUGUGCAAAGCCACCAUUACCCCGAGCGUUAAUUAUUACGGUGUUGACAGUCGAGACGGUAGUUGCACGCUCGCCUGAAUCAAAACAUUGAGGUUUCAGUUCCGACUCCAAUGAGUUGAGCCUGUGAUCCGAGUUGACACUCGAAAACGUUGAUGAAGAUGCAUGACCCUCAGAGAAAUGAACAGUCUUUGAUUUUUAAGCAGUGACCUCAAAUGUCCAAGUCUCCCAGGAGGGGAAACAACCGCUCCACAUCAACCCUGUCAAGGCUUUCAAGAUCUUAAAUAAAACGAAGAACUGUGGAUGCUGGAGAUCUGAAAUAAAAAUAAAAACAGAAAUUGCUGGCGAAACUCAACAGGUCAGGCAGCAUCUGUGGGAAGAAAUCCGAGUCAAUGUUUCAAGACUGCUGACUGUUCAUCCAGAACUCUUUAUUCCUAUAAUGUGGUGACCAAAACUACAUGCAGUAUUCCAGUUGUGGUCUAACCAGCAUUUUAGACACUUUCAGCAUAACCUUCUUCAUCUUAAGGUAUUCUGUGCCUCAGCUAAUAAAGGCAAGCAUCCCACAUGUCUCUAACCAACUGGACCAUCUCUAAUAUCUCUCUCU